GACGAACGCUGGCGGCGUGCUUAACACAUGCAAGUCGAACGGAAAGGCCCUUCGGGGUCCUCGAGUGGCGAACGGGUGGGUAACACGGGGGUGAUCUGCCCUGCACUCUGGGAUAAGCCUGGGAAACUGGGUCCAAUACCGAAUAGGACCACGCGCUUCAUGGUGUGUGGUGGAAAGCUUUUGCGGUGUGGGAUGGGCCCGCGGCCUAUCAGCUUGUUGGUGGGGUAAUGGCAUACCAAGGCGACGACGGGUAGCCGGCCUGAGAGGGUGGCCGGCCACACUGGGACUGAGAGACGGACCAGACUCCUACGGGAGGCAGCAGUGGGGAAUAUUGCACAAUGGGCGCAAGCCUGAUGCAGCGACGCCGCGUGAGGGAUGACGGCCUUCGGGUUGUAAACCUCUUUCAAUAGGGACGAAGCGCAAGUGACGGUACCUAUAGAAGAAGCACCGGCCAACUACGUG
rnacentral:rRNA from 1 species